CCUACGGGAGGCAGCAGUGGGGAAUAUUGCACAAUGGGGGAAACCCUGAUGCAGCGACGCCGCGUGAGUGAAGAAGUAUCUCGGUCCGUAAAGCGCUGUCAGCAGGGAAGUAAAUGACGGUACCUGACUAAGAAGCCACGGCUAACUACGUGCCAGCAGGCGCGGUAAUACGUAGGGGGCAAGCGUUAUCCGGCUUUACUGGGUGUAAAGGGAGCGUAGACGGCAGCAAAGGUCUGGAGUGAAAUCGCGGGGCUUAACCCCGGAAUUUCUUUGGAAACUGUGCGGCUGGAGUGCAGGAGGGGUAAGCGGAAUUCCUAGUGUAGCGGUGAAAUGCGUAGAUAUAAGGAGGAACACCGGUGGCGAAGGCGGCUUACUGGACUGUAACUGACGUUGAGGCUCGAAAGCGUGGGGAGCAAACAGGAUUAGAUACCCUAGUAGUC
rnacentral:rRNA from 1 species